AUUGAACGCUGGCGGCAGGCCUAACACAUGCAAGUCGAGCGGCGUGGCGGACGGGUGAGAAAUGACUAGGAAUGUGCAAGGUAGUGGGGGAUAACGAUAGGUAACGGGCGCUAUAACUGCUUACUCUCGGAAUAGACUAGGUCGGACUAGCUAGUUGGUGGGGUAAGGGCCAACCAAGGCGACGAUCCGUAACUGGUCUGAGAGGAUGAUCAGUCACACUGGAACUGAGACACGGUCCAGACUCCUACGGGAGGCAGCAGUGGGGAAUAUUGGACAAUGGGCGAAAGCCUGAUCCAGCCAUGCCGCGUGUGUGAAGAAGGUCUUCGGGUUGUAAAGCACUUUAAGUUGGGAGGCGUUACCAACAGAAUAAGCACCGGCUAACUUCGUGCCAGCAGCCGCGGUAAUUC
rnacentral:rRNA from 1 species